GAUGAACGCUGGCGGCGUGCCUAAUACAUGCAAGUCGAGCGAACGGACGAGAAGCUUGCUUCUCUGAUGUUAGCGGCGGACGGGUGAGUAACACGUGGAUAACCUACCUAUAAGACUGGGGUAACUUCGGGAAACCGGAGCUAAUACCGGAUAAUAUUUUGAACCGCAUGGUUCAAAAGUGAAAGACGGUCUUGCUGUCACUUAUAGAUGGAUCCGCGCUGCAUUAGCUAGUUGGUAAGGUAACGGCUUACCAAGGCAACGAUGCAUAGCCGACCUGAGAGGGUGAUCGGCCACACUGGAACUGAGACACGGUCCAGACGCCUACGGGAGGCAGCAGUAGGGAAUCUUCCGCAAUGGGCGAAAGCCUGACGGAGCAACGCCGCGUGAGUGAUGAAGGUCUUCGGAUCGUAAAACUCUGUUAUUAGGGAAGAACAUAUGUGUAAGUAACUGUGCACAUCUUGACGGUACCUAAUCAGAAAGCCACGGCUAACUACGUG
rnacentral:rRNA from 1 species